GACGAACGCUGGCGGCGUGCUUAACACAUGCAAGUCGAACGAUGAACCCGGAGCUUGCUCCGGUGGAUUAGUGGCGAACGGGUGAGUAACACGUGAGUAACCUGCCCUUGACUCUGGGAUAACUGCGGGAAACUGUAGCUAAUACCGGAUACUUUCACCGGGGGGCAUCCUCUGGUGAUGAAAGAAUUUCGGUCAAGGAUGAGCUCGCGGCCUAUCAGCUUGUUGGUGAGGUAACGGCUCACCAAGGCGACGACGGGUAACCGGCCUGAGAGGGCGACCGGCCACACUGGGACUGAGACACGGCCCAGACUCCUACGGGAGGCAGCAGUGGGGAAUAUUGCACAAUGGGCGAAAGCCUGAUGCAGCGACGCCGCGUGAGGGAUGAAGGUCUUCGGAUUGUAAACCUCUUUCAGUAGGGACGAAGCGAAAGUGACGGUACCUAAAGAAGAAGCACCGGCUAACUACGUGCCAGCAGCCGCCGUAA
rnacentral:rRNA from 1 species